UGACGGGGCAGAGCGCACGCCGCCGCCUCCGCGCCAGCUGCGAGCUCCUACCGUCGUCGCCGCCGGCACAGGAGGGGGGCCAAGACGUCUCUCCAACGGGGGGCGAGCGCAGGACCGCGCCAGGCGUCCAAAAGAAGGAAGAUGCCUCGCGGCGACAGGGAGAGCGACUGGAGGGAAAAGGAACAGUUCCGCAAGCUGUUCAUUGGCGGCUUAAGCUUUGAAACAACAGAGGAAAGCUUGAGGAAUUACUACGAGCAAUGGGGCAAGCUUACAGAUUGCGUGGUAAUGAGGGAUCCUGCAAGCAAAAGAUCAAGGGGGUUUGGUUUUGUAACAUUCUCCUCAAUGGCUGAAGUUGAUGCAGCCAUGGCUGCAAGACCUCACACAAUUGAUGGAAGGGUGGUGGAGCCCAAGAGAGCUGUGGCUCGAGAGGAAUCUGGAAAACCUGGUGCUCAUGUCACUGUGAAAAAACUAUUUGUUGGUGGUAUUAAAGAGGACACUGAAGAGCACCACCUUCGUGACUACUUUGAGGAAUAUGGAAAAAUUGACACUAUUGAAAUCAUUACUGACAGACAGUCUGGUAAAAAGAGAGGGUUUGGAUUUGUUACAUUUGAUGACCAUGAUCCUGUGGAUAAAAUCGUAUUGCAGAAGUAUCACACCAUCAAUGGCCAUAAUGCAGAAGUAAGGAAAGCUCUCUCUAGACAGGAAAUGCAGGAAGUUCAGAACUCUAGGAGUGGGAGAGGAGGGAACUUUGGUUUUGGUGAUGCACGUGGAGGUGGUGGCAACUUUGGUCCGGGGCCUGGCAGCAAUUUCAGAGGGGGAGCCGGUAAGACAGAUGGAUAUGGGAGUGGCCGUGGAUUUGGUGAUGGGUAUAAUGGAUAUGGUGGAGGACCUGGAGGUGGCAACUUCGGUGGCAGUCCUGGUUACGGAGGAGGAAGAGGAGGAUACGGUGGAGGAGGACCUGGAUAUGGCAACCAGGGUGGGGGCUAUGGAGGUGGUUAUGACAACUAUGGAGGAGGCAAUUAUGGAAGUGGAAACUACAAUGAUUUCGGAAACUACAACCAGCAGCCAUCCAACUAUGGUCCAAUGAAGAGUGGAAAUUUUGGUGGCAGCAGGAACAUGGGGGGACCAUAUGGUGGAGGAAACUAUGGUCCUGGGGGCAGUGGAGGAAGUGGUGGAUAUGGAGGGAGGAGCCGUUAUUGAGCUUCUGCAAGCUUGCCAUGGCUAUGAUAUGAACCCUGGACAAGCAUAGACUGCUGCCACUGUACUCUGCUACAGUUGAACAAAUGAGACCUGCAAGUGUCCAUUAGUAAAGCUUUGCAAGGGUUCCAUCCCUGGUGUUGGUAGUUAAAAUGGAAGGUGCCAUGCUGCAGGUAACUAAUGAAGAAGUGGUCAACCACAGAAACGCUUCAAGAAAUAAGAAAUUCUGUAUCAUCAGAAAAUAGUUGUUUUUGCUGCCUUCAUUAAAAAAAUCUAGAGGUUAAAUGAAUACUGAUAAAAUAUCACAAUUAGCACAGCUCCCUGUAAUGCUGGGUUUUUUAAAUGAUAGUAAUAAUUGUCUUGUAAACCUUUCGAAUAAAAUCCAGAUUCGGUAGGAGAAACAAAUUACUAAUGUUAAAAUAGCAAACAUUCUGUGAGUUGAAGGUUUAACUACAUAUUUUUAUAACUUUCAUAGCUUUAAAAUAAAGUAUUUUUAUACCAAAAUAGUUCUAGUGUAAUGCUUAAUAAAACUUAGUGUGUGUCUAACAUUAAAUAAUGUUGAUGUGCAGCUUUUAGACCUUCCAUGAUCUGAAACAUGCCAUUUCGAGGUGGGUUUAAAAACCACGUUAACUUGGCAAGUGUAUGCACAGAACUCGUACCUCUGAACAUAGGCACCUGUUCUCUGUUGGGAGAAACAGUGCUACAAAUGAAACAUGCUGAUUAUUUUUUGCUCUUGGACAAAAUUGCUUUAAAAUAGCUCUGUGUUUUUUUUUUUUUAUCAAAUUUAAAAAGUAUCUCCUCCUUUCCUGUUAAAGAAACUAACCACUUAAGGCACUUCAACAAAAUGUGUUAGGACAAUAACUUUAUCCUUCUUAACUUUAAAGAGCUUUUAGCAUCAAUAGUAAAAGACGGAAUGGAAAAAAGAGUUUCUGCUGUACCAGAACUGUAUUACUGAUAGCUGCAUCUUCUGAAAAAACCAAGCACAAGCUUGGGAGAGCUCCAGUUGGGAAUGUAUUGCUUACAUAAGUUAUUCUAAACUUGCAAUGUAUAUGCUUAGUAGAAUUGUGAUGUGUUUAACCUUCUUUAUAUAACUCAAAAGUACUACUUAAUGAUUCAAAAACAUUUUUUGGUAUGUUUUUUUAAGUUGAACUUUGAAAUAUUUGCAUAGGUGACCAGUGGGCUGCAGUGGAAGCAGAAAAUGAAGACGUUCAAAAUCUGCUUUACUUUGCUCUUUCCAGCAGAAUGAGUUGACCUGUUAAUUAGGAAUUUGCCUUCUUUCCUGGAACGUAGAUUCUAGUUAAUGGAAGUUUUCUUUACAGUUGACAAGUCCACGUUCAGAUCACAUAACUGAAAAAGUACUUCAAA